GAAAUUAAGCAUAUAAUUAAGCGGAGGAAAAGAAACUAACCAGGAUUCCCCCAGUAAGGGCGACUGAAGCGGGAAGAGCUCAGGAUGUGAAUCUGUGCUUGUAAUGGGCACCGAAUUGUGGUCUGUAGACUGUGACGUUAUCCCUGCGGGCCAAGUUCUUUGGAAAAAGGCAGCCGAGAGGGUGACACUCCCGUCCGCCUGCUGGAUUGAGUCACAUGUCGACGAGUCGAGUUGUUUGGGAUUGCAGCUCUAAUUGGGUGGUAAAUUCCAUCUAAAGCUAAAUAUUGGUGGGAGACCGAUAGCGUACAAGUACCGUGAGGGAAAGAUGCAAAGAACUUUGAAAAGAGAGUUAAAGAGUACCUGAAAUUGCUGAAACGGAAGCGAAGGAAACCAGUGUUUGGCCUGAUCAUACUUCCCUUGCCACUUGUGGCGUGGGCGCUGUGGUCUUGCUGUCUGUCAGGUUUGGUUUGGUCCAUUGGAAGAGCUCCGUCGGAGUUGANGACGGUUUGCUAGCAUUGGACGGGACUGAUUCUGACGAAAUGGUUUUCUUUACCCCGUCUUGAAACACGG
rnacentral:rRNA from 1 species